UGGAGGCGACCCAUUUGCUGUCCUCGCCGGAGAUCGAGGCGACACGAGCCUGGGCGGUGAAAUCGAAGCACGAAAAGGGCGGUGACAUUUGCUGUCCGGCGAUGGUGUGCAGGGUGCGGCUGGGAGUGAUAAGGGAGGCAUUGGAGAUUUUGGCUGAUUUUUUCCUUUUUCUUUUUUUAUUUAUACUCACUCAAAACGACGUCGUUUGAAUGCCGGUGAGUCCACGUCUGAAAAUUUCGCUGCCACGUCAACACCGAUCAAAGUGGUGGUCAACGCGUGUACAAUUUGCAACAAAAUUAAAAGGUGAUGUAUUCUGAGGCUAUUUUUUAAGGUCAUGUACAAUUUGCAAAUUUCGUGAAAGCUCGUGUAUUUUCCGGCCAUUAACCCAAUAAACUUUAGGGCCUGUAUUUAAUUUUUGUUUUAAAAAUUUUGGGGGC
rnacentral:lncRNA from 1 species